ACUCGAGUGGCGAACGGGUGAGUAACACGUGGGUGAUCUGCCCUGCACUUCGGGAUAAGCUUGGGAAACUGGGUCUAAUACCGGAUAGGAGCCAUCUUUAGUGUGGUGGUUGGAAAGUUUUUCGGUGUAGGAUGAGCCCGCGGCCUAUCAGCUUGUUGGUGGGGUAAUGGCCUACCAAGGCGGCGACGGGUAGCCGGACUAAGAGGUUGGUCGGCCACAUUGGGACUGAGAUACGGCCCAG
rnacentral:rRNA from 1 species